GGAUGAGUGGAGCUUGCUCCAUGAUUCAGCGGCGGACGGGUGAGUAAUGCCUAGGAAUCUGCCUGGUAGUGGGGGACAACGUUUCGAAAGGAACGCUAAUACCGCAUACGUCCUACGGGAGAAAGUGGGGGAUCUUCGGACCUCACGCUAUCAGAUGAGCCUAGGUCGGAUUAGCUAGUUGGUGAGGUAAAGGCUCACCAAGGCGACGAUCCGUAACUGGUCUGAGAGGAUGAUCAGUCACACUGGAACUGAGACACGGUCCAGACUCCUACGGGAGGCAGCAGUGGGGAAUAUUGGACAAUGGGCGAAAGCCUGAUCCAGCCAUGCCGCGUGUGUGAAGAAGGUCUUCGGAUUGUAAAGCACUUUAAGUUGGGAGGAAGGGCAGUAAGUUAAUACCUUGCUG
rnacentral:rRNA from 1 species